GGGUUGUGAGGUUAAGCGACUAAGCGUACACGGUGGAUGCCCUGGCAGUCAGAGGCGAUGAAGGACGUGCUAAUCUGCGAUAAGCGUCGGUAAGGUGAUAUGAACCGUUAUAACCGGCGAUUUCCGAAUGGGGAAACCCAGUGUGUUUCGACACACUAUCAUUAACUGAAUCCAUAGGUUAAUGAGGCGAACCGGGGGAACUGAAACAUCUAAGUACCCCGAGGAAAAGAAAUCAACCGAGAUUCCCCCAGUAGCGGCGAGCGAACGGGGAGCAGCCCAGAGCCUGAAUCAGUGUGUGUGUUAGUGGAAGCGUCUGGAAAGGCGCGCGAUACAGGGUGACAGCCCCGUACACAA
rnacentral:rRNA from 1 species